rnacentral:rRNA from 1 species
UACGUAGGAGGCGAGCGUUGUCCGGAAUCAUUGGGCGUAAAGAGCGUGUAGGCGGCCCGAUAAGUCCGCUGUGAAAGUCCAGGGCUCAACCCUGGAAUGCCAGUGGAAACUGUCGGGCUAGAGUCCGGAAGAGGCGAGUGGAAUUCCUGGUGUAGCGGUGAAAUGCGCAGAUAUCAGGAGGAACACCAAUGGCGAAGGCAGCUCGCUGGGACGGUACUGACGCUGAGACGCGAAAGCGUGGGGAGCAAACAGG